CGCUUCAGACACCUACACGAGGCGAGUGAUAGAGCGUGCACGCGGGCGCGUUGGAUCGUUCGUAAGACGGACACGUUCGCAGGCCGGUUGUGCACCUUUUGUACGUGGCGGCGGUGAUUGGACAGCGGAUAUACGAGACGAUCGUGGGUAGAUCGAUGCAUUUUGCCGCUCAUUGCUUUCCGAUCGAGCGGCUACCGGAGGUAAGUAGAUCGUGUCUCGAUGUUUUCAAGCGUCGCGCCACUGGCGGACGCGCACGCGUGGAACGAGGAUUAUUCCUUGAUCGGGGGACUGGGUAAUCGGUGCUAUCGUGAUCGUGUCGACGAUCCUCGCCUUUGAUGGGCUCGUUCAGCGCAACUUUGAUCCAGAUUCGAUCAGAGAGCUCGGAGGUGCGAGCUCGUCUGUGCGGGCGUUGAAGUCUCGACAGGAUAUCGAGUGAGUUUAACGCGUUGCUGAUUUAACAUUGGGAACAAGUAGUAUUUAAUAAUUGGUAAAGUCCAUUCAGUUUAAGUUUUGAAAUAAAAUUAAAUAUUGGAAUAGAAGAAUGAAGAAUUUAUUGCAGAAAAUAUUGUUGAAAAUUAUAAGGGAAUUGAGUAAUAGCUGAUAAUAAUAUAAUUAAAUUUAUCAUAUUUUUCUAAUCUAGUAUAAAAGCUUAAAAAUUUUUUAAAUGAUAAAAUCUUUGGAAAAUUCAAAACGCAAAAAUUAACUUUAAAUAAUUAUUUUUUUAAAAAAUAAUCGAUUCUUGAAAAGGAAUGAUUCUCGUUAUUAAAAGGUUCUUAUUUUGAUUGAAUAUUUAUAUGUAGAUUUUUUAAUGAAACUAUUUUCUAUCGAAUUUUAUUUAUACUUAUAAAUAUAUAUUUAUCACGCUUUUAAUUGGAUAAUUUAUUAUUUACUUAAAUGAGAAGAUUAAUAGAAAAAAUGGAAUAAAUAAUGAAACUUAUAAUUUGUAAAAAUUGUGGAAAAAAGUGACUAUCAUUUUUAAGCUAUCGUAAUGUAGUUACACACCAUUUUUUCUCUGCAUUCCAACAUUUUAUUAAAACAAAUCGAUAAAGAAUGAUAUCUUCAUAAGUCGUAAAAGAUCAAUGAUAUUCUUGAAAGAAUAAAAAGAAAAAAAAAAAGAAAAAAAGGAAGAAGGAAGAAGAUGGAAUCGAAUUACAUUGAAGAUGGUUGAUCGCAUAUUUUGCACACCUUCGACUGGUUUGACAACGAAUUGUAUAUGCAAAUCCAUAUCGAUGACAUCGAGUGAUUAUGCAAAUUUUUCAUAUUACAAUAUUGCUGCUGUGGCAUAUCAUUCAUUUGUUCGCGCAUUCUUUUAUUCUUUUUUCUUAAUCUCUUGAUUUUAAUAAAUAUAGAUAUUAUGCAUACUCGAUGAAUAUUUAAGAAUUGAAAAAUUAUUCGAUUGCUAAAGAUCAAUGAGAUUCAAUAUUUACAAAGAAUUUUUUCAAUAUUAAGAAAUUUUUUUAAUUCUUUUUUACAAUAUCUCUAUGUUUGGUAAUUUUAUUAAGAAGAAUUCCACGAUAUAUGGACUGAUGCAGUAAAAAAUAUAUGAUUACAUUUAAAAAAAAUAAAGUUGAGCUUGACAAGUUUUUUAUGAGUUCACUUACGAAAAAAUUAAGGUACCAGAACAUAAUUUGAGACCAUUCAACUUUUAUUCGGAGUAUUUUUUAAUAUUAUGAAGAAUAAUAUGAGUAUAUAUAGUCCACAUAAAUCUAAAUUAAUUGUUAAUUAGAAAAUAUAUAAUUUCAAUUGUAAAUUAAAUUAUUAUUCAAUAAAUGUUAUUUUUCAAUAAAUAAA